CGUCAAGUCAUCACGGCCCUUAUGUCCAGGGCUACACACGUGCUACAAUGGCCGGUACAAAGAGUAGCAAGACUGCGAAGUGGAGCCAAUCUCAAAAAACCGGUCUCAGUUCGGAUUGGAGUCUGCAACUCGACUCCAUGAAGUUGGAAUCGCUAGUAAUCGUAGAUCAGCACGCUACGGUGAAUACGUUCCCGGGCCUU
rnacentral:rRNA from 1 species